AUGAAUUGCCUAGUAUGGAACUGUCGGGGGGUGGGGAACCCUCGUACAGUUCAUGAUUUACAGGCUCUUUGUAGAGCCAAUUCCCCGAGGAUGGUGUUUCUGUGUGAGACUAGGAAUCAGCUGCAAAAGAUGAAAAGGUUGCGCGGUAGGCUUGGGCUCCAUGGUUUUGAGGGCAUAAGCAGUCAAGGAAAGAGUGGUGGACUAGCUUUGUUUUGGGAUGAGUCCAUGUAUGUCAGCAUUCAGGACGUUAAUGAGAGGUGGAUUGAUGUUUUUGUCAGGGUGGCUCCCUCGGAACCUCUCUGGCGAGUGACCUUUGUGUAUGGUGAACCUAGGGUGGAAAACAGACAUCUUAUGUGGGAGAGCUUGUGUAGAUUAAGGAAUACUUCUGAGCUGCCUUGGUUAGUUGCUGGAGAUUUCAAUGAGGCGCUAUGGGAGUGUGAACAUAUGUCCAUGAUGGCGAGGCCGCAGGCCCAGAUGAUAGCCUUUUGGGAUUGCUUUGAGAUGUGCCAGUUGGUGGAUCUAGGCUUUUCAAGCUAUCCGUUCACAUACAAUAACAAACGGAGUGGCCGGGCUAAUGUGCAGGUGCGUCUGGACAGAGCGGCAGCGGACAAUGCUUGGCGAGAUAUGUUUCCGGAGGCGACGGUGCUCCACCUGACGUCGCCGCGGUCGGACCAUCGCCCGCUUCUCCUGCGGUGUGCACAAGAUACGUAG
rnacentral:rRNA from 1 species